UUGGAGGGCAAGUCUGGUGCCAGCAGCCGCGGUAAUUCCAGCUCCAAUAGCGUAUAUUAAAGUUGUUGCCGUUAAAAAGCUCGUAGUUGAACCUUGGGCCUGGCUGACCUGUCCUCCUAAUCGAGCGCACGGGUUCGGUCGGGCCUUUCCUUCUGGGGAUCCCGAUGCCCUUCACUGGGCGUCGUGGGGAACCAGGACUUUUACCUUGAAAAAAUUAGAGUGUUCAAAGCAGGCCUUUGCUCGAAUACAUUAGCAUGGAAUAAUAGAAUAGGACAGAGGUUCUAUUUUGUUGGUUUCUAGGACCGCUGUAAUGAUUAAUAGGGAUAGUCGGGGGCGUCCGUAUUCAAUUGUCAGAGGUGAAAUUCUUGGAUUUAUUGAAGACGAACUACUGCGAAAGCAUUCGCCAAGGAUGUUUUCAUUAAUCAGUGAACGAAAGUUAGGGGAUCGAAGACGAUCAGAUACCGUCGUAGUCUUAACCAUAAACUAUGCCGACUAGGGAUCGGACGGUGGUUUUUUUAUGCCCCGUUCGGCGCCUUACGGGAAAC
rnacentral:rRNA from 1 species